UACAGAGGGGGGCAAGCGUUGUUCGGAACUACUGGGCGUAAAGGGCGCGUAGGCGGCCUUCUAAGUCGAACGUGAAAUCCCCGGGCUCAACCCGGGAACUGCGUCCGAGACUGGAAGGCUCGAAUCCGGGAGAGGGAUGUGGAAUUCCGGGUGUAGCGGUGGAAUGCGUAGAGAUCCGGAAGAACACCAGUGGCGAAGGCGGUUGCCUGGAGCUUUGCUGACGCUGAGGCGCGAAAGCGUGGGGAGCGAUCCGG
rnacentral:rRNA from 1 species